CCCCGGGGCCCGAGGCAAGGGGCCCCCACCGACACCUGCUCCUCCCCGCACCUCGCAGCCCCCGCACCUGUGGGUCUGGCCUACCCUGCUGCNCGCCCCGGCCCCGGGCGCAGCGCCUGCAGGGCGCGGGGGUCCCCCCGCGGGGAACACCACGAGCGGCCUCGGAGCCCCGGGGCCUGAGGCAAGGGGCCCCCACCGACACCUGCUCCUCCCCGCACCUCGCAGCCCCCGCACCUGUGGGUCUGGCCUCCACCCUGCUGCCGCCGCGGGAACGGCCGAGGCUUUGGGCCAACUCGAGCUCCCCCUCCCCGCGUCCAAAUGCGCUGCGGAAAAAGCCGGGGACUGUGCCGUGGCAAAGCCUGGAGCGUUUCGAGUCCUUUUCUGGAUUCGCACCAGCUCCUCUCUUUACAAGCAUCUUUAUCCGGAAUUCAGCGAGUCCAAAAACCCAGAGCCAAGUGUCCUCCUUGGGACCAGAAGCGACCUGCGUUCAUAGGGGCCCUGCUUCCUGCCCACCCACCACUCGCUUUCCUCGGAUCUCGAAGUUACUUGAUAGCAGGACGAAGGGAGCCCAACUGUCACCAUUCGCCCGAGCUCCCAGCGCGGUGCCAGGCGUCUUCCCAACAUGAUCUCAUUCCCCCCUACCAAUAGCUAGCAGCCUGAAAUUGAAGUUCUUACCAUCUGUAGCCAAGGAAUGACAUCCUGACUCCAGCCUUCCUCUCCCAGAUUCAUCUUCAAAACUGAUGCCUUACAGCAUGGGUUUUAGAGACAAGAAAAGAAAAGAAAAAGAAAAAAAUUAAAAAUAGAACUACCAUGUGAUUCAGGAAUUCCACUCCUUUCACAACUUGAAAGCAGGAGCAUGUAGAGAUAUUGGGGCAAUCAGGUUCACAGCAGCACCAUUCACAACAGCCAAAAGGUGGAAGCAACCCAAGUGCCCAUCGAUGAAUGAAUGGAUGAACAAAAUGUGGUAUAUACAUUGAAGGGGUGGAAACCUUUUCCCUUCUUCCCUGCUAGGUUCUUCAGCAAUAAUUUAAUUGAUAUAAGACAGAUUAGCAGAGAAGAGCAAACUUAACUGCAUACAUAUGAACACCUCACGAAGAUCUGAAGACUCAAAGGGCAGCCAGGUAAUUGAGGUUUAUGUAAUAUCAUGGAGCUAAGGAAAAAGAUAAGGAUCUGGGGAGACAAAGGGAAGAAAGGCCAUUCACUUUUGAAUGGUUUUAGUUCAAAAUAAUCCUUAUGCCACAAAGAGACACAUUUUGAGGUGGUAAUAUAUGCUCCCCUUCAACAUAUAGAAUAUUAUUCAGCCUUGCAAAGGAAGGAAAUUCAGACACAUGGGCAACCUUGAGGACAUUAUGCUAAGUAAAAUAAGCCAGUCCCAAAAGGAGAAAUAUUACACGAUUCCACUUUCUGAGGUACCUGGAGUAGUCAAAUUCAGAGGCAGAAAGCAGUAUGGUAUCCCCCUACUUAAAGUCAAGGGGCUCUUCAUUUGAUCACAGGGCCAAGCCCAAGGUCUCCG
rnacentral:lncRNA from 1 species